rnacentral:misc_RNA from 1 species
ACUUCUCAACCCCGCCCUUGUUAAUCAAGGGUUGUUCUGGGCUUGAAUCGUGGUCUCUGCCAUUAAUACUGGCUAGACUGAAAGAUAGGAAGCUGCAUGCACGAAUUGUAACGGCUUGACCUGAUGUUGUAGUAUCAAAACUCAUCGGGGACGUUACUAAACGUUGGCAAAGAGCUUUAACACUUAUUGGAUUAGUACA